UGACAGGCCGUUAGGAUAGGAAAUCUGCAAAUACAAGGUUGUCAGACGUAUAGUUCAUUGGAAUAUUCCUGAUGGUAAUCCAUGUGGCUAAAUAGGCUGGUAACCCCAGGUCAGCACACAGCUAAAAGCCUUAACCUGGAUGUGUUAUCAUCAGUGUCGGUUAUGGAACCUCAUCCCGUAUGGUCGACAAGAUCCUGACC
rnacentral:lncRNA from 1 species